rnacentral:rRNA from 1 species
UUGAAGAGUUUGAUCAUGGCUCAGAUUGAACGCUGGCGGCAGGCCUAACACAUGCAAGUCGAACGGUAACAGGAAUCAGCUUGCUGAUUCGCUGACGAGUGGCGGACGGGUGAGUAAUGUCUGGGAAACUGCCUGAUGGAGGGGGAUAACUACUGGAAACGGUAGCUAAUACCGCAUAACGUCGCAAGACCAAAGAGGGGGACCUUCGGGCCUCUUGCCAUCAGAUGUGCCCAGAUGGGAUUAGCUAGUAGGUGGGGUAACGGCUCACCUAGGCGACGAUCCCUAGCUGGUCUGAGAGGAUGACCAGCCACACUGGAACUGAGACACGGUCCAGACUCCUACGGGAGGCAGCAGUGGGGAAUAUUGCACAAUGGGCGCAAGCCUGAUGCAGCCAUGCCGCGUGUAUGAAGAAGGCCUUCGGGUUGUAAAGUACUUUCAGCGGGGAGGAAGGGAGUAAAGUUAAUACCUUUGCUCAUUGACGUUACCCGCAGAAGAAGCACCGGCUAACUCCGUGCCAGCAGCCGCGGUAAUACGGAGGGUGCAAGCGUUAAUCGGAAUUACUGGGCGUAAAGCGCACGCAGGCGGUUUGUUAAGUCAGAUGUGAAAUCCCCGGGCUCAACCUGGGAACUGCAUCUGAUACUGGCAAGCUUGAGUCUCGUAGAGGGGGGUAGAAUUCCAGGUGUAGCGGUGAAAUGCGUAGAGAUCUGGAGGAAUACCGGUGGCGAAGGCGGCCCCCUGGACGAAGACUGACGCUCAGGUGCGAAAGCGUGGGGAGCAAACAGGAUUAGAUACCCUGGUAGUCCACGCCGUAAACGAUGUCGACUUGGAGGUUGUGCCCUUGAGGCGUGGCUUCCGGAGCUAACGCGUUAAGUCGACCGCCUGGGGAGUACGGCCGCAAGGUUAAAACUCAAAUGAAUUGACGGGGGCCCGCACAAGCGGUGGAGCAUGUGGUUUAAUUCGAUGCAACGCGAAGAACCUUACCUGGUCUUGACAUCCACAGAACUUUCCAGAGAUGGAUUGGUGCCUUCGGGAACUGUGAGACAGGUGCUGCAUGGCUGUCGUCAGCUCGUGUUGUGAAAUGUUGGGUUAAGUCCCGCAACGAGCGCAACCCUUAUCCUUUGUUGCCAGCGGUCCGGCCGGGAACUCAAAGGAGACUGCCAGUGAUAAACUGGAGGAAGGUGGGGAUGACGUCAAGUCAUCAUGGCCCUUACGACCAGGGCUACACACGUGCUACAAUGGCGCAUACAAAGAGAAGCGACCUCGCGAGAGCAAGCGGACCUCAUAAAGUGCGUCGUAGUCCGGAUUGGAGUCUGCAACUCGACUCCAUGAAGUCGGAAUCGCUAGUAAUCGUGGAUCAGAAUGCCACGGUGAAUACGUUCCCGGGCCUUGUACACACCGCCCGUCACACCAUGGGAGUGGGUUGCAAAAGAAGUAGGUAGCUUAACCUUCGGGAGGGCGCUUACCACUUUGUGAUUCAUGACUGGGGUGAAGUCGUAACAAGGUAACCGUAGGGGAACCUGCGGUUGGAUCACCUCCUU